AAAAGGUGAAGAAUUUUCCAAAAAUAAAUUCAUCUAUUCGACCAUUGAGCACAAUGCCCCAGGUGAAGAAAGGUGAUGAUUUUUUUUCACUUCUUUAGUUGGCUGACAAUUUAAUUUCUUUCUUUUCAUUCUUGGACCAAAAUUUACGAGAGCCGACUCUUUGUGACCGAAUACAUGUACCAUGCAUUCGUGUUGCUUCCUUUCAUCCUUUAGCCAACCUGACAAGCUGGCUUGUCAGGAAUGCCUAAGUUGAAACGGAGUCAUCUGGUGCUAAAAGUUAAAAAGGAGGACAUGGUUUUUCAAUUCAUGGAUUGACGUGCCGAUGAUUAUCUUUUUAGUUUUCAUUCUUCAGCCAAAUUUGAGUGAGUUUGCUUUUUGUUGGUAAAUAAUCAGCUCUUAUUUCAAACUUGGAUAGCUAGCUUGUCAGGAAUGCCUAAGUUGAAACGGAGUCAUCUAGUGCUAAAAGUUAAAAAGGAGGACACGGUUUUUCAAUUCAUGGAUUGACGUACUGGUGAUUAUCUUUUUAGUUUUCAUUCUUCAGCCAAAUUUGAAUGAGUUUGCUUUUUGUCGGUAAAUAAUCAGCUCUUAUUUCAAACUUGGAUAGCUGGCUUGUCAGGAAUGCCUAAGUUGAAACGGAGUCAUCUGAUGCUAAAAGUUAAAAAAGGACAUGGUUUUUCAAUUCAUGGAUUGACGUACUGGUGAUUAUCUUUUUAGUUUUCAUUCUUCAGCCAAAUUUGAAUGAGUUUGCUUUUUGUUGGUAAAUAAUCAGCUCUUAUUUCAAACAUGGAUAGCUGGCUUGUCAGGAAUGCCUAAG
rnacentral:lncRNA from 1 species